rnacentral:rRNA from 1 species
AUUGAACGCUGGCGGCAGGCCUAACACAUGCAAGUCGAGCGGAUGAAGGGAGCUUGCUCCUGGAUUCAGCGGCGGACGGGUGAGUAAUGCCUAGGAAUCUGCCUGGUAGUGGGGGAUAACGUCCGGAAACGGGCGUUAAUACCGCAUACGUCCUGAGGGAGAAAGUGGGGGAUCUUCGGACCUCACGCUAUCAGAUGAGCCUAGGUCGGAUUAGCUAGUUGGUGGGGUAAAGGCCUACCAAGGCGACGAUCCGUAACUGGUCUGAGAGGAUGAUCAGUCACACUGGAACUGAGACACGGUCCAGACUCCUACGGGAGGCAGCAGUGGGGAAUAUUGGACAAUGGGCGAAAGCCUGAUCCAGCCAUGCCGCGUGUGUGAAGAAGGUCUUCGGAUUGUAAAGCACUUUAAGUUGGGAGGAAGGGCAGUAAGUUAAUACCUUGCCGUUUUGACGUUACCAACAGAAUAAGCACCGGCUAACUUCGUG